rnacentral:lncRNA from 1 species
GAGUAAUAAUCGGAUCAAGUAAUGGGUAGAGGUGGGAAAUUCGGAUCGAAUCAGAGUUUGAUUACAGUGACAGACCCGUUAUGAGAUAGAGAUAUAGCUACUUGUUUUCUUUUGUUGUUGAUCAUCUUUAGGGUAGAAGGUUUCUGGGUGUACUUAAAAAGUAUAUAUAUAUAUAGAUGCAUUCUCGAAAGCACUUUGCC